AAGAUAAGGGCCACUCGGGCUAGCCAAGGAGACUGCCCUGUGAUUAGAGAGAGAUCACAAGACAUCCGUCACACACAUGCAGAUCAAACUAGCCAAAGGCAAGUCAUCCUUGGCUACCAGAAGAAGCCAUUAUCA
rfam:Triticum aestivum genome assembly, contig: Triticum_aestivum_CS42_TGACv1_scaffold_374785_5AL